AUGAAAGUCCUCUUUUGGAAUAUUAGAGGUUUCGGUGCUAGGGGGCGCCGUGGCCAAAUUAAGGACUUGGUGCGUGCGAACAAUAUCGAUUUGGUGGGGCUGGUUGAAACCUUUAAAGAGUCUUUUCCCCCCAAUGAACUUUCUGCUAUCGCGGGCAUGGAUAGGUUUGAUUGGCAUGUGUUGCCUGCUUCGGGCCAUUCGGGGGGGAUCCUGAUUGGCAAAAAAGAUGUAUUCGAUUUUGUUGCCUUUGAUCAUGGGGUCUUCUGGGCUAGCACGGUAGUUCGUCAUAAAGCCCUUAAUAUUCUGUGGGAGUUCAUUGUGGUGUAUGGGACGGCAGAUCACUCGUUGUCUUCCUUAUUUUUGGACGAGCUGUCUGCUAAGAUUGAGGCUUGCAAUCUACCAAUGGUUGUCGGUGGGGACUUCAACCUCCUUCGUUUUCCCUAUGAUAAAAGUAAUGACAAUUUCUCCUAG
rnacentral:rRNA from 1 species